UCCUCCUCAACCGUUUUUCAUUCUCUCCAUCCCCUCUUUUGUUUCUUUCAACCGAGAGGGGAGGUCCUCCCCUCUGGCUGCCUCCAUCAUGGCUCCGACGAGGGACCAAUGGCCCUCUAAACCCCUUCUUUUUGAACCCUUAAAAAACUACCACCAAACCCGACUUAAACUGUCACAAACCCUAAAAAACCGACAAUAAAAAAUCUACCUUUGUUGCUCUGAAAACUUCUCGGCUCCGGUGAAGGAAGAAUAUUAAGAUUUUUCUUUGUAAUUUCAGGGUGUCAAGAGCAUGGCCAUAGAAGGGGAUGGCUUCUAAAUGGUGACAUGAUUGGCCUUGGCAUUGACCAACAUGGCGGCCGGACCAACUGGGGCAGUAAGUGGAGGCGGUAGUAGUUCUCAGCGGCAUUGGGAAAGGCUGCUUUCUAGGGUUUCCAAUAACCCUAAAAUGUUUUGGGUUAAUUGGGCUCCUACUGGUUAGGCCUUUGAUCUGUAACAUUUGGGCUGAUCUUGUAAUGUAAUUAGG